GAACACGAGCACUUCUUAUAUAUGGUAUGGCACGUGGUUAGUGGUCAAUUAGUCUUGAUAGAUGGUCUCCUUUGGCUCCGGUGAAUCCGUUGUCUCGGUCGGGUUUAUAAAUAUUUCGUUUUAUUCUUCCUCUAAUUGGCAUCAUUCUUCUCCUCUCUCAACCAAUUUUUUUUAUCAUUUAUUUAUCUUCUUGUCAGUUCUUUUCAAAAGUUUAUGAGUAAAUGACCAUAUGAUCUGUCGUUGACCAGUCAUGAUGUUAUCAUGUUGUUCUUUAAUGAUGAUGUAUGAGAAUGCUAUGUUGAUAAAUGAUGAGAUUGUUGGAACACAAUCAUCCAGAAUAUUAUGAUUUAUCAAAGAAAAUCCCAUGAUCACACAAAUGAAAUUUCUCUUUGGUAGGUGGACAUAUUAAGGUGGUGAUUCUACCACCUUUUUUGAGAGUGAACAAGCUAAUUAAAAUUAAUUAGCCGAUUGAAAAUGAACAAGCUAUUUGGAAUUCUCCUAUAUUUAAUUUGUGCUUUAUCUUUUUUUUUAUAUUUUGGUACUUUUAAUAGUAUUAAUUAGAGGUAUAUUUCUAAAAUUGUAUCUAGUAAUUUGAUAUGAAAACUUAUAUUUAAAGUUUUUUUUUCUUUUCAAAAUAGUACUAUACUCUAUUUAGCAAUGAACAUAUGUUUUGCAAUGAAAGAUUUUGUUGGACUUGGACAUGUCCAGAAAGCGAUUGCAAUUUAUAAAAACAAGGGAAUUA
rnacentral:lncRNA from 1 species